AAAAAAUGUUAAAUAUGUUAUCUUUCUUUUUUUCGCGCUAUGCUGACUUGCUGACAGCUCAAAACAAAACAAAGAAAAAAGUAAAUGCGUUUUGUUUCUGGAUCAAGUCUUGAUCGUCUUGAUGGUACUGCAUCUCAGAUUCGAUAGUGCACCUGAAUUUUGCGGUUUUUUCGGGAGUAGGCAAUAGAAGCUGCUGUAGACUUCGGUGGAAAAGUCUCGUAAAGCGAAAAAACGACGCGACGGUUGGCUGAGGCAGGAAAAACUGCUGCGCAGAAUGAAUUCGAGUCCGUUCCGGUCACGCUGGUUGCAUCCUGAGAAACCACGAUCCUGGAGACGGGCGCAGUCAGCCUGACGAUGGAACAGUGCAUGAAGAUGGAUACACCCAAGAUACGCAGGAUAGUUUUAGUUUAGUGAAGAGUUUUGUUGUUGGAUUAAAGGGAUCUCAGGUCGAUGGAU